rnacentral:rRNA from 1 species
AACGAACGCUGGCGGCAUGCCUAACACAUGCAAGUCGAACGAGAUCUUCGGGUCUAGUGGCGCACGGGUGCGUAACGCGUGGGAAUCUGCCCUUUGGUUCGGAAUAACAGUUGGAAACGACUGCUAAUACCGGAUGAUGACGAAAGUCCAAAGAUUUAUCGCCAGAGGAUGAGCCCGCGUAGGACUAGCUAGUUGGUGUGGUAAAGGCACACCAAGGCAACGAUCCUUAGCUGGUCUGAGAGGAGGAUCAGCCACACUGGUACUGAGACACGGCCCAGACUCCUACGGGAGGCAGCAGUGGGGAAUAUUGGACAAUGGGCGAAAGCCUGAUCCAGCAAUGCCGCGUGAGUGAUGAAGGCCUUAGGGUUGUAAAGCUCUUUUACCCGGGAUGAUAAUGACAGUACCGGGAGAAUAAGCUCCGGCUAACUCCGUGCCAGCAGCCGCCGUAA